CUUGCUGCUGAUUCCUGCUCUUUCUUUGCAAACUGAGGGCAGUGAGAAAAUUGCUGACCGCUUCUCUAAGAAGGUAGAAAAACAUAUUUUAAAAUGAGUCACAUUUCAGAGUUAGCAAAUGUAAACAAAACAAAACAAAAUUGGAUUAAGUGAUUUUAAUCUAAAAUCUUAAAUCACCUCUUACGUGUUCUGGAUGAUCAAAUGAACAACUUUCUAAUUCUCUUAUAUUCUUUAGUGAGCAAUCAUUGUUAAAUACAGUGAGGUCAGAAAGAAAAAAGAAAAGCAGGCUGGACAUGGUGGCUCAAGCCUGUAAUCCCAGCACUUUGGGAGGCCAAGGCAGGUGGAUCACUUGAGGUCAGGAGUUCAAGAUCAGCCUGGCCAACAUGGUGAAACCCUGUCUCUACUAAAAAUACAAAAAAUAGCCAGGUGUAGUGGCAUGCCCCUGUAAUCCCAGCUACUAGGGAGGCUGAGGCAGGAGAAUGGCUUGAACCCAGGAGACAGAGGUUGCAGUGAGCCGAGAUCACACCACUGCCCUCCAGCCUGGGCAACAGAGUGAGACUGUCUCAAAAAAAAAAAAAAAAAAAAAAGAAAAGAAAAGAAAAGAAAAUUUUAUUUUAGGAAUGUCACGUGGGAGAGAAAGAAUAAUAGCAAAACCAUGCAAAUUCAUUAAUGCAUUCGAUUUUCCUCUGCUCUAGGAAUGAUUUGAACACUUAAUGCAUUUGCAGAUUUGAUUUCUAUAACUAGGUUUAAGAGGAAGAAUAUAGCCCUACUUAAAAACAAAGUGGUCUAAUUUUUCCCAUUAGUGCUAGAUGUAUGGAACACAGCUAGAGUAGAUUGAGUUUAUUACUGGGCACCUGUCUUGAAUCCCAGUUAUUUAGCAGUAGGCAAAUUUCUUGUUUUUUUUUUUUCCAAGGAUUACUUUCCCUGAGUGUGUAAUAGGGAUAAUCAAAGGCAUUUAAAAACUUUGUGAGGUGCAGUUGAAUCAAUCUACAUGAAAGCUCUUAUCACUGAGUAAGAUCAAUAGUCCUCAAAGUGUGGUCUGGAGAAGCUUGGGAAUCAAUGAGGUCAAAAUUAUUUUUAUGAUAAAGCUAAUAUGUUAUUUGAUUUUUUUGCUUUCAUUUUCUCACAUGCUUACAGUGGAAUUUUCCAGAGACUACAUGGUGCAUGAUAUCGCAACAGACUGACUGCAGAAGCAGGUGUGAGAGUGUGUCUUCUAGUAAGCAAGAUAUGAAACAAACUUGCAAAAAUGUGAAACAAUGUCACUUUUCCCACUAGACUGUUUGUGUUUUGGAAAAUAUUUUUUGUAAAAAAUAUUAUUUAUGAUAACAUGUAGUGAGUUUUAUUCUUUUUAAAUGAAUCUUUAACAAUGUUUUCAGUUUAAUUUCCAAUACGGUAAAUAUUGAUAGAUAUAACCCACAUAAACAAAAGCCCUUUUAGGUUCUCAAUAAUUAUUAAAAGUGUAGAGGGGUCCUGAGAACACCAAGUCUGAGACAAGCCGAGUUAGAUGCUGUCUGAAGUCCUUCUAGCUCCUCUAGCCCACUAGUCCACUCUGUUGCUCAGGUGCCAGGUGCACCUGCUGGGUCUGCCCUCUUCAGCAGCCCCAUUUCACCCCAACCUUGUUGAGUAUAUCUGACACACUGAUCCUUCCGAAGAAUAAUCAUGCCACUUUAAUUUGCAUCCACUUUACUGUUCUCAAAAACUUUUCAUACCCUUGAUCUCAUUUAAUCCUGCAAGGUAGGUAAUAAGCAUCUGGUAAGAAACUUUGAAAAUGAGACUGGAUUUCUAAUUCUAAUGCACAUAAUCCAGGGAUUUGCUCAUCUAUAUUGUUAGAUCUGCCUGAAAAUAAAAGGUAAGUGAGAAAUGGUCAUGGUGUAUGUAGCAAUCUGGAUAAUGGAAUGGAGUAGGUGUUCUAAUCACCCCCUCUUCUGGGUUUCUUGUAAUCAAGCAAGAGAGGGAGAUUUAUAAAUGGAUGGACAUAAGGAGCCUACUUGAGUAGACCUUUUUGCCCCCACUUCACAGGAUGGCAGCUCUACUGAUGUCUCCCAGUUUUCUCUCAUAGACCCAGACCUGCAAGAACUCGAGGGAAAGGAAGAUCUUGAAAGCCUCUCAUUCACUGGGUGCUUCCAGCUCCAAGUGUGUGGUAAUGGUUUCAGAGGGAUUUGGAGAGAAACAGAAUAGUCGAACUUACCUCAUCAAACGACUCCAGUUUUUAUUGUCCCCCCAUAAAGAUAGUCUAAACCUGCUCCCCUGCUUGUGAACUCAGAGUCCUGUUGGGGGACUCAGAAGGUUGUACAUAUAUAUGUGUGAAUAGUUUUCAAAUGUUUCACACAUGUAUGUAUAAAUAAUUUUAAAUGUUUGUGUAUAUUGUCAUGAUUAAUAAAAAGCCCAUUCAUUUAAAAGCAUCACGUUAUAGCUUUCCCUCAUUAUACUCACACUAAAAAUAUUACUAUCAAGCAGGAUGAAAUUUUCAUCCAAAGGAGUCCUCAUUUUUGAAAAGGUUAAGACUCAUUGGUCUAAGCUGUAGUCUGGAGCUCUAUUGACAAAGGUGUAACAUUUAGAGCUAAAGCCAAGUUUCACACCAACAAUUUCCUCUCCUUAUUUUAAUUGUAUAUGGUACCAGGGUAGUGUUUGCCUUUGACUCUUUAUGGAAAAUGUGAUGACAAGCAGCAAAUGUUACAGCUACAUACACCGACACCUGCAGUUCUUGAGGGAGCGGUCCCAAGACGUUUGUGAAGUUGAAAGUACUUAAACCAGCUCCUCGCUUCCUUUUGAGCUCUUUCUCUAUUGAGGGUUGUUAUUUCCUGAGUAUGCACUUAUACCUCAAAUUAUACUUCUUUUCAGAAUUCAUUUAAGAUUUAUGUCUCUCUCUCGCCGGGUGUAGUGGCUCAUGCCUGUAAUCCCCGCACUUUGGGAGGCUGAGGCAGGCAGAUCACUUGAGGUCAGGAGUUUGAGACAAGUCUGGCCAACCUGGUGAAACCCUGUGUCUACUAAAAAUACAAAAAUUAGCCAGGCAUGGUGGUGGGCGCCUGUAAUCCCCGCUAUUCUGGAGGCUGAGGCAGGAGAAUUGCUUGAACCUGGGAGGCAGAAGUUGCAGUGAGCCGAGAUUGCACCACUGCACUCCAGCCUGGGUGACAGAAGCCUCCAUCUCAAAAAAAAAAAUUACGUCUCACUCGAUGGUCUUUUUUUUUUUUUUUUUUUUUUUCAGGAAAAAGCACAAAAUUCUUACCACUUCUCAGAUUUCCCCCACCUGGCAUGACAAUAAAAGACCCACAAAACUUAGUCGAUACGUUCCAAAGUAGCCAACUGAGUAGUGUUGCCAGAUUUAGCAAAUAAAAAUACAGAAUGCAUAGUUAAAUGUGAACUUCAGAUAAACAUCCCUUGGUAUCCGUGGGGGAUUGGUUUCAUGAACCCCUGAGAAUACCAAAAUCUGAGAAUGCUCAGGUCCCUUGUAUAAAAUAGCAUAAUAUUUGCAUAUAGCCUGCACACACCUCCCAUAUACUUUAAAUCAUCUCCAGAUUACUUAUAACUAAUAAAAUGUAAAUGCUAUGUAUUUGUCAUACUAUAUUGUUUUUUAAAAAGUUGUGUUUUUUAAGAAAUGUAUUCAAUCCACAGUUGGUUAAACCCACAGAUGAGGAACCCAUGGAUAUGGUGGGCCAAUUGUACAGUAACAUCCCAUGCAAUAUUUGGAAAAUACUUACACUAAAAACUUAUUUGUUGUUUAUCUGAAAUUCAAAUUUAAGUGGGCAUUCUGUGUUUUAUCUGGCAACCCUAAAAUUGACUUGUUCCAGUAUGGGAGACUUUCUGCUUGAGGAUUUAAAAUUUACACCUUAACGGAGGUGGCCAUUUUUACCUGUCAUGAGCCUUCAUGGGUCCCUGAAAACAGUAACCCUGCUGAAUUUUGUAUCUGUGAAUGCCAAGAAAGUAUUUUAUUGGCCACUCA
rnacentral:lncRNA from 1 species